GGGCCCGUGGCCAAACUUGGGAUGGCGCCGUGUUUGCACUGCGGAAACUGUCGGUUCGAGCCCGACCGGGUCCA
rnacentral:tRNA from 1 species